GCCCUCUGUCAGGUGUCAUUUCCCCCAGCUCCUGCUGAGAAAGAAUUCAAUUUGCAUCAUCUAAAAAUUAAGCUGAUUCAGAGCCUGAAAUCAAGGGAAGGAAAUGUCCUGGGAAGUACUGAAGAAGCCUCAGAGCUGCACGAUCACCUGGGCUCGAUUUCUGCUGCAACUUCAUGGCCCUCAUUGACGUGGGCUUCGUGGGGUCUCAUUCUGUUGCCCAGACUGGAGUGCAGCGGCGUGAUCACAGCUCACUGCAGCCUCGACCUCUCAGGCUCAAGCCAUCCUCCUGCCUCAGCCUCCCGAGUACCUGGGAUUACAGUGAUCCUUGGGGAAACUGAGGAAGCUCAACAACAAUUUGCAAAAUGGAGGCAAGAAUAAUGGCUAUUUCCUCUGCAUAGAAGCAGAGCAGCAUGGUUUGGAAUUAAGCACAUCUGGUUGGAACUCGGAGAGUCACAUCCUGAAUGGGAAAGUUACUGGCUUCUCUCCACACCCAAGACUUCCUGGUAAAGUGAGAUCAUCGUAUUUGACUUCCAAGGUCUAAGUCAGAAGACAGCUGCUAGCCCCACAGAGGACAGCUGCUGGCACAGCGUUUGGUGUAUAAUAGGCACCUCAACAGACAUUGUUCCCCUCCCCAGUGAAUUGCCCUGCUUUCUGUCCUCUCUCCUUGCAUCUGCCUCCUUAAUGUUUUCACCCUUUAAGACCUAGCUGAAGUUUAAGAACUUUCCAGGUCCCCUCCACCAUGUUUUCACUCUUCAAGACCUAGCUGAAGUUUAAGAACUUUCCAGGCCCCCUCCACCACUUCCCACUGGAACAUCAUCCCCUGCCCUGGCAUGGAUGUGGAUGGCACUCAAUACUUCUUGUGUUCUUUGCUAAACCGUCAAGGCCUUGAAGGCUGGGACACCAUCUUUUAAUGGCUCAACAAAUAUCUGGAACAUCAAAGGUGAGCACAGAUGUGAA
rnacentral:lncRNA from 1 species